rnacentral:rRNA from 1 species
AGCGAACGCUGGCGGCAGGCUUAACACAUGCAAGUCGAGCGCCCCGCAAGGGGAGCGGCAGACGGGAGAGUAACACGUGGGAACGUGCCCUUUAGUUCGGAACAACCCAGGGAAACUUGGGCUAAUACCGAAUACGCCCUUACGGGGAAAGAUUUAUCGCUAAAGGAUCGGCCCGCGUCUGAUUAGCUUGUUGGUGAGGUAAUGGCUCACCAAGGCGACGAUCAGUAGCUGGUCUGAGAGGAUGAUCAGCCUCACUGGGACUGAGACACGGCCCAGACUCCUACGGGAGGCAGCAGUGGGGAAUAUUGGACAAUGGGGGCAACCCUGAUCCAGCCAUGCCGCGUGAGUGAUGAAGGCCUUAGGGUUGUAAAGCUCUUUUGUCAGGGAAGAUAAUGACGGUACCUGAAGAAGAAGCCCCGGCUAACUUCGUGCCAGCAGCCGCCGUAACAC